AUUGAACGCUGGCGGCAGGCUUAACACAUGCAAGUCGAGCGAGCGGCGGACGGGUGAGUAAUGUCUGGGAAACUGCCUGAUGGAGGGGGAUAACUACUGGAAACGGUAGCUAAUACCGCAUACCAUCAGAUGUGCCCAGAUGGGAUUAGCUAGUAGGUGGGGUAAUGGCUCACCUAGGCGACGAUCCCUAGCUGGUCUGAGAGGAUGACCAACCAAACUGGAACUGUAACCCGGGCCAGACUCCUACGGGAGGCAGCAGGGGGGAAUUUUGCACAAUGGGCGGAAGCCUUAUGCAGCCAUGCCGGGGUUGUGAAGGAGGGCUUCGGGUUGGAAAGCACUUUCAGCGAGGAGGCGUUACUCGCAGAAGAAGCACCGGCUAACUCCGUGCCAGCAGCCGCGGUAAUAC
rnacentral:rRNA from 1 species